rnacentral:rRNA from 1 species
CCUACGGGAGGCAGCAGUGAGGAAUAUUGGUCAAUGGACGAGAGUCUGAACCAGCCAAGUAGCGUGAAGGAUGACUGCCCUAUGGGUUGUAAACUUCUUUUAUAUGGGAAUAAAAUGUUCCACGUGUGGGAUUUUGUAUGUACCAUAUGAAUAAGGAUCGGCUAACUCCGUGCCAGCAGCCGCGGUAAUACGGAGGAUCCGAGCGUUAUCCGGAUUUAUUGGGUUUAACGGGAGCGUAGGUGGAUUGUUAAGUCAGUUGUGAAAGUUUGCGGCUCAACCGUAAAAUUGCAGUUGAAACUGGCAGUCUUGAGUACAGUAGAGGUGGGCGGAAUUCGUGGUGGAGCGGUGAAAUGCUUAGAUAUCACGAAGAACUCCGAUUGCGAAGGCAGUUCACUGGACUGCAACUGACACUGAGGCUCGAAAGUGUGGGUAUCAAACAGGAUUAGAUACCCCAGUAGUC